rnacentral:rRNA from 1 species
AUUGAACGCUGGCGGCAUGCUUUACACAUGCAAGUCGAACGGUAACAGGCCGCAAGGUGCUGACGAGUGGCGAACGGGUGAGUAAUGCAUCGGAAAGUGCCCAGUCGUGGGGGAUAACGCAGCGAAAGCUGUGCUAAUACCGCAUACGAUCUAUGGAUGAAAGCGGGGGACCGUAAGGCCUCGCGCGAUUGGAGCGGCCGAUGUCAGAUUAGAUAGUUGGUGGGGUAAAGGCCCACCAGGGCGACGAUCUGUAGCUGGUCUGAGAGGACGACCAGCCACACUGGGACUGAGACACGGCCCAGACCCCGACGGGAGGCAGCAGUGGGGAAUUUUGGACAAUGGGCGCAAGCCUGAUCCAGCAAUGCCGCGUGCAGGAAGAAGGCCUUCGGGUUGUAAACUGCUUUUGUACGGAACGAAACGGUCUGGGUUAAUACCCUGGGCUAAUGACGGUACCGUAAGAAUAAGCACCGGCUAACUACGUGCCAGCAGCCGCCGUAAAAC